rnacentral:rRNA from 1 species
GACGAACGCUGGCGGCGUGCUUAACACAUGCAAGUCGAACGAGAUCCAAUGUGUAGCAAUACACAGGAAGAUCUAGUGGCGAACGGGUGAGGAACACGUGAGAAACGUACCCCAGACUUUGGGAUAACAGUCCGAAAGGACUGCUAAUACCAAAUAACGUCGGAAGUCCGCAUGGACAUCUGACGAAAGGGAUUCCGGUUUGGGAGCGUCUCGCGGACCUAUCAGCUAGUUGGAGGGGUAACGGCCCACCAAGGCAACGACGGGUAGCUGGUCUGAGAGGAUGGUCAGCCACACUGGGACUGAGACACGGCCCAGACUCCUACGGGAGGCAGCAGUGGGGAAUCUUGCGCAAUGGGCGAAAGCCUGACGCAGCAACGCCGCGUGCGGGAAGAAGGCUUUCGGGCUGUAAACCGCUUUCAGUAGGAACGAAACUGACGGUACCUACAGAAGAAGGAGCGGCCAACUAUGUG